rnacentral:rRNA from 1 species
ACGCACGCUGGCGGCGUGCCUAAUACAUGCCAGUAGAACGCUGAAGGAGGAGCUUGCUUCUCUGGAUGAGUUGCGAACGGGUGAGUAACGCGUAGGUAACCUGCCUGGUAGCGGGGGAUAACUAUUGGAAACGAUAGCUAAUACCGCAUAAGAGUAGAUGUUGCAUGACAUUUGCUUAAAAGGUGCAAUUGCAUCACUACCAGAUGGACCUGCGUUGUAUUAGCUAGUUGGUGGGGUAACGGCUCACCAAGGCGACGAUACAUAGCCGACCUGAGAGGGUGAUCGGCCACACUGGGACUGAGACACGGCCCAGACUCCUACGGGAGGCAGCAGUAGGGAAUCUUCGGCAAUGGACGGAAGUCUGACCGAGCAACGCCGCGUGAGUGAAGAAGGGUUUCGGAUCGUAAAGCUCUGUUGUAAGAGAAGAACGAGUGUGAGAGUGGAAAGUUCACACUGUGACGGUAUCUGACCAGAAAGGGACGGCUAACUACGUG